GAAGCGGCAACAGCUCAAAUUUGAAAUCUGGCCUCUUUGGGGUCCGAGUUGUAAUUUGUAGAGGAUGUUUCGGGCACCGCUCCGGUUUAAAUUUCUUGGAACAGAAUGUCAAAGAGGGUGAGAACCCCGUCUUGGACCGGCAGUAGGGCCCAUGUGAAACUCCUUCGACGAGUCGAGUUGUUUGGGAAUGCAGCUCAAAAUGGGUGGUAAAUUUCAUCUAAAGCUAAAUAUUGGCCAGAGACCGAUAGCGCACAAGUAGAGUGAUCGAAAGAUGAAAAGCACUUUGAAAAGAGAGUUAAACAGUACGUGAAAUUGUUGAAAGGGAAGCGCUUGCAACCAGACUUGCGCGCGGCGGUUCCCCCUUCCUUUUGGUUGGGUUAUUCCGCCGUGUCCAGGCCAACAUCGGUUCUGGGGGUCGGUUAAAGGCCUGGGGAAUGUAUCUACCCUUCGGGCGUAGACUUAUAGCCCCGGGUGUCAUGCGACCUCCCGGGACCGAGGAACGCGCUUCGGCUCGGAUGUUGGCGUAAUGGUUGUCAGCGACCCGUCUUGAAACACGGACCAAGGAGUCUAACAUCUAUGCGAGUGUUUGGGUGUCAAACCCGGAACGCGGAAUGAAAGUGAACGGAGGUAGGAAGCUUCGGCUGCACUAUCGACCGAUCCUGAUGUCUUCGGAUGGAUUUGAGUAAGAGCAUAGCUGUUGGGACCCGAAAGAUGGUGAAC
rnacentral:rRNA from 1 species